rnacentral:rRNA from 1 species
UACGGAGGGGGCUAGCGUUGUUCGGAAUUACUGGGCGUAAAGCGCGCGUAGGCGGCUUUGUAAGUUAGAGGUGAAAGCCCGAAGCUCAACUUCGGAAUUGCCUUUAAGACUGCAUCGCUUGAAUCAUGGAGAGGUCAGUGGAAUUCCGAGUGUAGAGGUGAAAUUCGUAGAUAUUCGGAAGAACACCAGUGGCGAAGGCGACUGACUGGACAUGUAUUGACGCUGAGGUGCGAAAGCGUGGGGAGCAAACAGG